GAUGAACGCUGGCGGCGUGCUUAACACAUGCAAGUCGAACGGUGAAGGCGGAGCUUGCUCUGCUGGAUCAGUGGCGAACGGGUGAGUAACACGUGAGCAAUCUGCUCCUGACUCUGGGAUAAGCGCUGGAAACGGCGUCUAAUACUGGAUACGAGCUGCGAAGGCAUCUUCAGCAGCUGGAAAGAAUUUCGGUCAGGGAUGAGCUCGCGGCCUAUCAGCUUGUUGGUGAGGUAAUGGCUCACCAAGGCGUCGACGGGUAGCCGGCCUGAGAGGGUGACCGGCCACACUGGGACUGAGACACGGCCCAGACUCCUACGGGAGGCAGCAGUGGGGAAUAUUGCACAAUGGGCGAAAGCCUGAUGCAGCAACGCCGCGUGAGGGACGACGGCCUUCGGGUUGUAAACCUCUUUUAGCAGGGAAGAAGCGAAAGUGACGGUACCUGCAGAAAAAGCGCCGGCUAACUACGUG
rnacentral:rRNA from 1 species